rnacentral:lncRNA from 1 species
UUAUUCACUGCCAAAUUGAAAUAAUCUUCAGUAUUCCCAAAUGAGACACGCUUGUGCUGAAAAAUUGUUCAUGGCUUAUCUCAAAUUCAAGUUUAACUAGGUGCCCUGUAUUUUAGCUGGCAAGCCUACUUGAGGCCCAUGGUUCCACAUCUUGGGAACGUGGACCCGAGAGAAUGAAGGCGGCAUGUGCAAAGAAGCCAGAGUGUCCCUGUAGCAUCUCCCUCUGCCACAACUGAUGCAGCACUGCGGCCGUCCCCUCUGUCGCUGGUAGACAGGCAGAUCAUCAACGCCCACGCAGCCCCAGCUGGCGCUCUGCAGAGCCCAUGAAGCUGUUUGGCCUCGGGCCAGGAUGGGCCUACAAAGCCAGAAGCAUCUGAUGUGGCAUGUCUGACGCACCUCCUAAGCCAGCCGCUGGCUGCUCCUGUCCCUGUUUACUCCUCUGGCACUGGCUUCUAAGGCAGGGGCGGGAGCUGGAGGGAGAGACAGCGUUAGAUUUCCCAGGAAGAAAAGGAUUCCAUGACUCUAAGAAGUCCUAAAACCAAUGAUCUAUCCAGCAGUCAUUCUCAAAGCUGCCUGUGCAUCGGGAUCAACUGGGUGACUUGCCUCUCCUGAAGGACACUAGGAGAAUCUAGCUGGGGGCUUGUGCAAACCAGUUGCGCCUGCUACUCCCUAGUACUGCCUUUUCGGCAAGCACCAUCCCGGGUGUCAUCACUCUCCGUGGGGAGGACCCCUCCUAUCCGCCGUCCAGGGCCGCAAGGAUCCCCUGCCCAAGGACCAAGCCUGUGGUGGCUGCAGCAGAACCACGUGGACACUCAGGCGCCCAAGUGCUUGGCUCUAGGGACAGCUGGCCAGAGAGGUGUCUCACACGUGGAUAAACUAAGGACGCCUCUUGUUGUACUUGUCCUCGUACCUUCUUCCAGAAACAAGGCCCCUCUUUUAUUCAGGGAACUCUUGAUGCUCAGUCC